UGUGUUUUGACAUUAGUGUAGCCAAAGUUGCUGCAGUGUGAUCUGUGGAUAUGACGAGGAAGUGUAACGUUUCAAAAUACAACUGUGCAUGUCUUAAUUGCUGUGAAGAAAACGUGAAAAGAGCCAGGACAACAUUCCAAGGAAUGUGCUCACCCAAGAGUAUCCUUGUCUUUUUCAAAAGCAGAUCUAUUUUUGUGCCCUCAUUCACACGGGGCGGUGGAGCAAGCUAAUUGGACGGUCCUGUGAUAGAUUUGCGGCUGUGGCUAGCCAUGCUCGACCGUUUAUCCUGGUUUGGCUGCAGCGCCGCUGCUCCAGUGAGGCAAACUGUGGGCUGCUCCCUCGUGCUGGGAGAGCGUGGGGCAAUGGAGUGAGGUUAACAACUGCUGAUGUACGUGCUCGGAAUAAACCGCUUUAUAGGAAUCGGGAGUUUUGCGGAGCUAAUAAAAAUGGAUGAUUUUAAGAAGACCUGCCACUUCAGGUAGCGUUAGGAGUGGGAAGGAAGCCUUUUUGGAAGGCAGUGGAAAAUUGUUGGUGACUUCAAAAUAUUUUGAUCAGAAAGUACUUUUUUAUUGUUACAAUUGUACAUCAUGUUGGGCGAUGUGUUCAGUUUUCUUUUGUAUACAUUUAUUUGUUUGUUGUUCGUGAUAAAGAACGGUGAAUUCAACAAUGGGAGUUAAAGGAUGCUGCCUUGAACAUUAUUGACAGGUUAAAGCAUUUGGUUUAGAUCACAGAAAAUGAAGUCAAAAUACAAAGAAGGGAACUUUAUCCUCCGAGCGCUGUAAGGGGUUCGUGCUGUCUCUGAGCUUCCUUUGGGUUUCAUCUGAAAGAAAACCAUACUGGUGUUAAAAAGAGCACGAAUUUGAAAGAGCAAUAGAUAAUAGGGGAAAAAUCUCCAACAUGGAAUGAGGAAACGCCAGGUGGUAAAUGAGGAUGACAAAUAAGAAUUGUUGGCAUCUUUCGUUUAGAUGCAUGCGCAGACAUUUCUGGCUUAUCUGGCUGCUACUGCUGCUGCUUAUUUCUCACUGAGAGCUUCGUACGGGCAGAGAGCAUGGCCACCAGCUGUGCAGCUGAGGAUUGCGGAGAGAGCACAGAGCCACUCAUGGAGAGGCCCACGGAGCCAGAGCCCGAAAACGAAGUUGGAGAGAUAUCCAGCUGCGAAGGCCAAGAGGGCCGCUCGCCCUCACUGCUGCUCCGCCUGGCAGUGACGGUCGCCGCGGCACCGUUUGCAAGCCGCACGGGACUGCACGGCGUGCGGCACGUCCUGGCCGCGCGACGCACACUGGCAUAUCGCCUCCUCUGGCUGCUGGCCUGUGUGGGGGCCCUGGCCCUCCUGCUGGCCUCAUCGGCCGACCGUGUUCACCACCUGCUGUCGCGGCCCUCAAACAGCAAAGUGAGCACGGUGUGGCCGCGUGGACUCACCUUCCCGGCCAUCACGCUCUGCAACAACAACCUCGUGCGCUUCUCGCGCCUCACCCGCACCGACUUACACGCCCUGGGCAUCUGGCUCGGCCUUCUCACGCGCUUGGCUAACGGGCCGGCGACUAUUGUUAACCUCACGGCCGACCCCGACGUGUUGGCCUCACUUGCUGAAUCGCAGCGACAAUGGUUUCUGCGACUCUCUAACUUCUCGACAUUCCUGCCUCCCCGUGACCCUGCUGGACUGAGUCGCACCCUUCUGGAGCGGCUGGGCCACCCGCUCGGCGAGAUGAUGCUCACGUGCCGCUUUGGGGGUCAACAAUGCGGUCCCGACGACUUCGCCGUUGUAUACACCCGCUACGGAAAGUGCUACACUUUUAAUUCGGGCAAGGAUGGGCGUCCACUACUCACCAGCAUGAAGGGUGGCAUGGGCAACGGGCUGGAGAUGAUGCUGGACAUUCAGCAGGACGAGUAUCUGCCCGUGUGGGGCGAGACCGACGAGACAUCGUUCGAGGCCGGGAUUAAGGUGCAGAUCCACAGUCAGGAUGAGCCACCUUUCAUCGACCAACUGGGCUUUGGCGUGGCCCCGGGUUUCCAAACCUUCGUGUCCUGCCAGGAGCAGCGGCUCAUCUACCUGCCUUACCCAUGGGGGGACUGCAAGGACACGCCGCCCGAGUCAGAAUUCUUCGACACGUACAGCAUCGCGGCAUGCCAGAUCGACUGCGAGACUCGCUACUUGGUGGAGAACUGCAACUGCCGCAUGGUGCACAUGCCUGGAGACGCUCCUUACUGCACUCCGGAACAGUACAAAGAAUGUGCAAACCCUGCCUUGAUGUUCUUGGUGGAGAAAGACGACGACUACUGUGCGUGCGAGAUGCCGUGCAACAUCAAACGCUACGCAAAGGAGCUGUCAAUGGUGAAGAUCCCCAGCCAGGCCUCUGCCAAGUACCUGGCCAAAAAGUUCAACAAGACAGAGGCAUACAUUGCGGAGAACGUUCUGGUGCUUGAUAUCUUCUUUGAAGCUCUCAACUACGAGACCAUUGAGCAGAAGAGGGCCUAUGAGGUGGCUGGCCUGCUUGGUGAUAUCGGUGGCCAUAUGGGACUGUUCAUUGGUGCCAGCAUCCUUACCAUCCUGGAGAUUUUUGAUUACCUAUACGAGGUAAGACAUAGCCCUCAUAAACCACUCCAGCCCGUCAGCAAGAUUGCUGCUUGCAGGUUUGAUAGGUGUCCCUGUUGUACGCACUCCGCAAUCGACAGCCUCAAAUUGCCCUUACGCUGUAAUGCAGCAAGGCAAUGCCAUUACCCCAGCAGUUUUCAAGAUAAUGGCUAAAUGCAAGUGUAGUAGAUGUGGAAAGUAGCUUUGGGGAUUGAGUCUAAAACGUUUCAAAGUUCAUCACGACUGCAGUAGACUUGUGUCAUGGAUUGUGCCAUCGACCCUGGCACUCUUGAUCUAUAUAGCUCCAUUUCAGUGUAUAGUAUAUGUUCACCAAUGUACCUGUACUUGACACCAUUGCAAUCAUUGAAGACUUGGUCCAACAAGGACUGAAUCCAGAUGUACCAACUUUGGUAAGGCACUGUCUUACCAACACAUACUUCACCUGCAAUGGUACAUUCUACAAAUAAAAUGAGGGUACCCCAAUGGGUUCUCCCUUAUCACAAAUGGUAGCGAAUGUUUUCAUGGGGAAAUUUGAGACAGAUGCCAUCCAGCCAUCCACCCUAUGUCCUUCCUUGUGGAAGAGAUACAUAGAUGACAUGUUCGUCAUCUGGCCACAUGGCCUGCCAGCACUGAACUAAUUUCUCAACCACAUCAAUUCCAUACACCCGUUUAUCAAAUUCACCAUGGAAGUGGAAAAGGAUGGCAAGCUACCAUUCCUGGAUGUUUUGAUCGAGAAGAGACCUGAUAGCUCAUUGAGACAUUCGGUCUACAGGAAAACCACCCACACGGAUGCCAUCUAAAGCCUGACUCCCACCACCAUCCAGCCCAGAAGAAUUCCCUCAUCAAAACAAUACACCAUAGCGCCCGUUGCAUCUCCGACCAGCACCACCUAGCCAGUGAGUUGGAGCACGUACACCAAGCCCUUAGGAUGAACGGAUACUCGGACCGUACAAUCUCCAAAGCUGUCUCCCCAGCCAUGCAGAGACAACCUUCUGAGGAUCCAACCAAAACCAUCACUUUACCGUACAUAGCAAGGGUUACCAAAAAUAUUUCCAAAAUCUUAAACAAACACACGAUCCAGGUUCGUUUCAACACAGUACACAAAAUCUGUGAUUUUUAAUCCCAUCUGUAAAGGAUGUGAUUCCUGACAUGCAAUACCCUGGUGUCUACAAACUGAGUUGUGGUUGCGGUAGCAGUUACAUUGGGGAAACGAAACGACAUGUCUCGGACCGCGUUCGUGAACUCAAGGCAGAUCUGAAACACGGUAGGACUAAUACCUCUGCCAUUGCUGAUCAUUGUUUUAACGCUGUGGGCUCACACGAAAUUGAUUUUUCCAAGACGGAGGUACUCUGCAAACCUACCGGCUACCUUCAGAGAUUUGUUCAUGAAGCCAUCCAGAUAUAUAAACACAGACACAACUUCAACCGAGAGGAUGGGUACAAACUGCGCAAUCAUUCGAAGGACGUUAUUAACCAGGUAAAGUCUUAUCUGACUGUUUCCAUCCUACCUGCCUAUGUCAACUGUUAUUUCCGACUCUCUGUGUCUCUUUCUAUGCCUCUCUCUUAGAUCUCUCAUGCUCACAUGUCCUUUGCAUUGCACUCUCAUGCCUUUGGAUUGCACUCUCAUGCUCACAUGUCCUUUGGAUUGUACUCUCAUGCUCACAUGUCCUUUGGAUUGCACUCUCAUUUUCGCAUGCCCUUUGGAUUGCACCCGUUGGGUUGCACUCCCGCGUCGAGGAGGCCGCUCUCCUCCUAUCUUACAAUUACAUGCUAAUUUGUCACAUUAACAUCACUAGCCCCGGCCACUUCUUUAUGACUCUUGGGCUACACCUAUUUCAAACUUUUUAAAAGUCUGCCUCAGCAGCAGACCAUGCUUUCCCACCUGAUGACGGACGCUUGUGUUGUGCCCGAAACGUCGUGAUUUAUUUUAUUUUAUACCUACGUGACAUUACUAAAAGAACCAAAGAGGAAAGUAUAUGUAGUUUUGGCUUUUUAUGUGAAUAUCGUGAUUUUUUUACAGAUUACUACAAAUAAAAAUUACCUUACAUUUAUGUUAAAAUAAUUUAAAUGCAUAAUUAGCUUUUCAGUCCUCGUUAUUAAAGUUAUCUUGUAUUUCCAUACUAAAAUGUUGAAUAAAAUCUACAAUUUAUUUGUGUUACUUGUAAACAUGUAUCCAUUGCAAUUGUGAACCAAGAAUACCACAAUCUCGACAAAAAAACGUCGGUGUCUUCCUCAAGUUGCGUUUGAAUGCAAUCAAUUGACAUCUGACAAAACCGCAAAAAUGCACUAAAUUUCCAUGGGGUUGAUCAUUCCUUCUUGGCUAUUUCACUCUAUGUAGAAGCAUGGGACGCAUACUUUUCCCUCUGCAUUGCUGUCUUUUAACAUAGAAAAAUAUUUAAUUGUCAUUGGUAAACACUGAUUUUUUGUUUUAAUGUAUGUAUGUGUGCACCUCCCAACAGAUAAUCAAGUACAGAAUUCUCUACUACUUCUGCCGUAAUAAGAAGCAGAGAAAUAUCAACGACAACUCCGUUCAAAUGACCAGCUCGUACGCGGCACCCCAGGGCCAUACACAGGCCGCCAUCCACCCACACGGAGCCCACGCCAAGUACGAGGACUUCACCUGCUAGGCGUGCAGGGUGC